rnacentral:rRNA from 1 species
GACGUAGGGCGCGAGCGUUGUCCGGAUUUAUUGGGCGUAAAGAGCUCGUAGGCGGUCUGUCGCGUCUGCUGUGAAAACUCGGGGCUUAACCCCGGGCCUGCAGUGGGUACGGGCAGGCUAGAGUUCGGUAGGGGAGACUGGAAUUCCUGGUGUAGCGGUGAAAUGCGCAGAUAUCAGGAGGAACACCGGUGGCGAAGGCGGGUCUCUGGGCCGAUACUGACGCUGAGGAGCGAAAGCGUGGGGAGCGAACAGG